rnacentral:misc_RNA from 1 species
GAGAGGGGCUAAGGCAUGCAUGUGAAGCAAUUAUCAGUGUUUGCCCUUUUCUAAUAAUUGUAAAUAUUAAAAAGCAAGAGUGUCAGUUUUCAAGGAUAUAGGAACAUUCCAUCAUGACAAUUAAGAGAGACCCUUUAGAAUGAAACUCAAAUCCAAAUCUAUGCAAAUCCCACUUUCACAUUAAAGCCAUUUUUAUUUCUUCACGGGAAAGUGGUGGUGGUGGUGCAUUCAUGGAAUCUUAUAAAAGAUCAAGCUGAAAAGCACCCAAUACCUUCUUAAAAAAAAAAAAAAGACCUUCUUG